GGUGUUCUUUAUGUUCCCUACAGGAGCUGCCGAUACAAAGGCCUGACCCAGAAGAAAUUCUGCGUCACCUGUACCAUCAAGAUCAAGAUCACCCGUCAUUGCUAGCUUGGAGUGUUGACAUUGACAGCUUUUGAACAUUUGUGGAGCAGAGGUGCACCAUGGCUUGCCACAAUGUCACAACUGGUCCUUGGAGAGCCGCUGGUGGUGACGGGCUGCCUGUGUCCUCUCUGCGGCAAAACUCCACAAAUACUCCACUCACCAAGUUCCAGAGGGAGAGGAUCACCAGACACCACCGGCCGUACUAAAGGAAGUUGCUCUAUGUAGGGAUGGAACAUGGCAUCUGCACCAGCUGGGACACACUUAGCCAACU